rnacentral:misc_RNA from 1 species
AACGCACGAGACCUGCGGACCUGCGGAGGGAUCAUUACCGAGUUUACAACUCCCAAACCCAAUGUGAACGUUACCAAACUGUUGCCUCGGCGGGAUCUCUGCCCCGGGUGCGUCGCAGCCCCGGACCAAGGCGCCCGCCGGAGGACCAACCAAAAACUCUUUUUGUAUACCCCCUCGCGGGUUUUUUAUAUCUGAGCCUAUCUCGGCGCCCCUUCGUGGGCGUUUCGAAAAUGAAUCAAA